UCUCUCUCUCUCUCUCUCUCGCAAUCAACUGUCACUUUCUGUUAGUGGGUUUUCGUUCUCGCCAUCAGUUUCACUCCGUCACUUCCUCUUUAUUCAUUCUCAGCCCUUUCACAAUUGCCAAGAAUUUGCAAAUUCGUAAACGGGAAGAGAAAGAAGAGAGACGGGAAAGCGAAAAAAUUUAUGAAAUUAAAACCAGAGCCGUCCUUUAAAGAGGGGAGAAAUUCUAAAAUA
rnacentral:misc_RNA from 1 species